GACGAACGCUGGCGGCGUGCUUAACACAUGCAAGUCGAACGAAGUGGCGAACGGGUGAGUAACGCGUAAUCAACCUGCCCUUCAGAGGGGGACAACAGUUGGAAACGACUGCUAUUACGGCUUACUGAAGGAGGGGUUUGCGUCUGAUUAGCUAGUUGGAGGGGUAACGGCCCACAAAGGUGAUGGUCAGUAGCCGGUCUGAUAGGAUGAACGGCCACAUUGGGAAUGAGAAACGGCCCAGACUUCUACGGGAGGCAGCAGUGGGGAAUCUUCCGCAAUGGACGAAAGUCUGACGGAGCAACGCCGCGGGAGUGAUGACGGCCUUCGGGUUGUAAAGCUCUGUUAAUCGGGACGCGGUACCGGAAUAGAAAGCCACGGCUAACUACGUGCCAGCAGCCGCGGUAAUAC
rnacentral:rRNA from 1 species